rnacentral:rRNA from 1 species
GAUGAACGCUGGCGGCGUGCCUAAUACAUGCAAGUCGAGCGAACAGACGAGGAGCUUGCUCCUCUGACGUUAGCGGCGGACGGGUGAGUAACACGUGGAUAACCUACCUAUAAGACUGGGAUAAAUUCGGGAAACCGGAGCUAAUACCGGAUAAUAUAUUGAACCGCAUGGUUCAAUAGUGAAAGACGGUUUUGCUGUCACUUAUAGAUGGAUCCGCGCCGCAUUAGCUAGUUGGUAAGGUAACGGCUUACCAAGGCAACGAUGCGUAGCCGACCUGAGAGGGUGAUCGGCCACACUGGAACUGAGACACGGUCCAGACUCCUACGGGAGGCAGCAGUAGGGAAUCUUCCACAAUGGGCGAAAGCCUGACGGAGCAACGCCGCGUGAGUGAUGAAGGUCUUCGGAUCGUAAAACUCUGUUAUUAGGGAAGAACAAAUGUGUAAGUAACUAGGCACGUCUUGACGGUACCUAAUCAGAAAGCCACGGCUAACUACGUG